rnacentral:rRNA from 1 species
GACGAACGCUGGCGGCGUGCUUAACACAUGCAAGUCGAACGGAAAGGCCCUGCUUUUGUGGGGGCUCGAGUGGCGAACGGGUGAGUAACACGUGAGUAACCUGCCCUUGACUUUGGGAUAACUUCAGGAAACUGGGGCUAAUACCGGAUAGGAGCUCCUGCUGCAUGGUGGGGGUUGGAAAGUUUCGGCGGUUGGGGAUGGACUCGCGGCUUAUCAGCUUGUUGGUGGGGUAGUGGCUUACCAAGGCUUUGCCGGGUAGCCGGCCUGAGAGGGUGACCGGCGACAUUGGGACUGAGAUACGGCCCAGACUCCUACGGGAGGCAGCAGUGGGGAAUAUUGCACAAUGGGCGGAAGCCUGAUGCAGCAACGCCGCGUGCGGGAUGACGGCCUUCGGGUUGUAAACCGCUUUCGCCUGUGACGAAGCGUGAGUGACGGUAAUGGGUAAAGAAGCACCGGCUAACUACGUG